CCACACCCGCAGCAUGUGGAAGUUCCCCGGUCAGGGAUCCAUCCAUGUCAUAGCAGUGACCCAAGCUGCUGCAGUGACAAUGCCAGAUCCUUAACCUACUGUACCACAAGGGAACUCCUGUUGUGAACUUCUUUUAUAUAUCAUCUCUGAAACUGUCUAGGCUAUACAAUCAGGACUGGUAUUGCUGCAUGAGAGGGUCUGUGCAUUUUUGCUUGGUGAACAUUGUUUUCCAGAAUGGUUGCAUCAGUUUACAUUUCCAUCAUCAUUGCAUAAACAUUCCAGUUAUUCAACAUCCUUACCAACACUGGGUAGAGUCAUAAUUUUCUAAGUUAUUUGUUACUCUAGCCAUCUCCCUUAGUUUCGGUCACCACUUCUGUGGUGAGGACCCCCAGACAAUGACCUCCAGCUCCAGAUCCAGGGUCACCUCCCUGUUGAACAUCCCUUCCUGGUUGUCUUCAGCCAGAGCAAAUGCAACGUGUCUCAAACUAGCAGAUCUUUUUCAGUAACUUGCACCAUCUUUACUCAGUCGCCCAAACCAGAAACCAAAGCCUCACCCAAAGAGGAAGAAUGUCCUCUUUUCCCUUUUAUCCCACAUCUGAAUCCUGCUCAUCCCACUCCCCAAACACCUCUUGAAUCUACUCGUUCUGUUCUACUGCGGUUCACUGGUAUUUCUGGCACUCCUCUCUCAGGGCUCAUAGUAAGACUGAACUUCCUCAUUUCAUGAUGUUGAUAAGGCCUUAUGACUUGCUUAGCCAGUGAAAUGUGUGCAGAUAUAACACUACAAGGCAGAAGUUGUAAGGCCUGGUUCAUGAUUCACCAUGACCUACAGCCCUGCCACAAGGACUGGCAAUAGUACCUGGUCCAAGGUCCAUCAGCCUCAAUUUUGGAGUGAAAACAGCAGAAACCUGCUUCAAAAAAAAAUUGCUGUUUUAAAUCACUGAAAUGUUGAAAUUACUUGUAACUAUAGCAUAACCAAGACUAUCCUGGCAGAUGUGCCCUCUUUCCAUCUUCCUGACUCUUGAAUAUGUAUAAGCAGUAGAGUGAGAGAAUUUUCCAGUGCCCUUGGAGUUCACUCUAGGAGAUUUGAAUUUUUUUGUAACUUCCUAAAUAAACUCUUAUGUUGGCAUGGAAAUAAUAGCCUUUGAAUGCCCAACUUUAGAGCUUGCUGAGCUCUUUCCAAGUGGCAUUAGUUGAGGUUUUGGCACUUUCAUCCAGAGCACAGCCAUCCUCUAUCUGCUUGAACAUCAGCUGUUAUCUUCCUUCCAAAGCCAUCAACUCCCAAAAUAGUAUAAGUUGGGAGUAAGUUAAUAUCUUCCUGGCAAAGUCCAGUGUCAGGUUUUAAGGGCAUCAUUUGAAUCUAGCUGACAAACUAGAUGGUCUAUAGUGCUCACAAACCUACGGAAUUUUGCUUUAAAGGAACUAACUAAAUUGAGGUCUUGUUAUGACACUAACCAAGGGAAAGGAAAUUAACAUUGCUUGAACCAGAGCAUUUUAUAUAUACUGUCUUGUUCAGUCUUCAGGACUAUUUUGUGCAUUAGUUAUUAUUAGUCUGGCUAACAAAUCAUUCCCAGAAAAUAGAUCCAAAUUGAGUAAGUGACUGGCCGGGGUCAGGGUGAAGACUCUGGGUCCAGGGCCCAGAGCUUAGGGCUCUUCCUAAGGUGUUCUUUUAACCUCACCACAGACUCUUAAUUGUGUCACUUCACUUAAGGUUUAAAAGUAACCCAAAUGCAGGCAGAUGAUUUUCUGAGUCUUGACUAACCCAUCAAACAAACAUUGCCUCCUACUUACUCAGUGUGACUGGCAGUGCUGGAGAAAGAAAACCAGAAUAAGACAAGAUAGAGCAGAUGAAGAGAAGAAAUCCCUGCCUUCUAGGGAGCAAGGAUUGAUAUGGUUUACAGUAGUAUACAAUGAUAUGAAGGCAGAUUAAUUACAAUGGGAGUGAUGAAUACAUCCAUUCAUUCAUUUACCAAACAUUCACCGAGUUGAAGAUCUAGAGACAGUACCCCAGCACCUGUCUUCAAGGAGCUCACAGUCCAGUGUCACAGGUAGAACAACAGAAGUUUGCUGAGUGGGAGCAUCAGGAGUGUCUGGCCAGUUGUCUCAGGGAUUUAAUAAUUCUUUGAUUCCAUCAGCCUUACCUCUUGCCGUCCCUGCCCUCCUUCCGCACCUUCAAUCU
ensembl:lncRNA